rnacentral:rRNA from 1 species
CGGCGGACGGGUGAGUAACGCGUGGGUAACCUGCCUCAUACAGGGGGAUAACAGUUAGAAAUGACUGCUAAUACCGCAUAAGGCCACAGCACCGCAUGGUGCGGGGGUAAAAACUCCGGUGGUAUGAGAUGGACCCGCGUCUGAUUAGCUUGUUGGCAGGGUAACGGCCUACCAAGGCAACGAUCAGUAGCCGACCUGAGAGGGUGACCGGCCACAUUGGGACUGAGACACGGCCCAG